ensembl:scaRNA
GGUCGGUGAUGAACAGUAAAAGGUCUGAUUACCCACAAUCCUUUCCUGCGGCCCUCUGGCUCCCAGCAGCCCCCGCUGUCUGUCCCGUCAUGCUCCAGUGCUGCAUGGCGGUCCAGCGGCUGCUGACACACACAGGAAGUGACGUCACGGCGAGGCUGUUCUCAGAGCGGCGGCCUCCGUGUGACUGACCUCCGACACAACCAAUCGGCACGGAGCGCGGGGCCGCGGAGGGGGAGGGGGGCUGAUCUCAAGUUUUCAAGCUGAGGCC